rnacentral:rRNA from 1 species
GCCCAAAAUCUAGCCUUCAAAACUCACAUGAACCCCCUUCCUACUGACUCCUAAACAAAACAUUCUCCCAUUAUAGUACAGGUGAUAGAAAAAAUUCUUAAGCGCUUUAGACAAAGUACCGCAAGGAAAGAUGAAAUAGAACUGAAAUAACCUUAAAGCCCUAAACAGCAGAGACACCCCCUCGUACCUUUUGCAUCAUGGUCUAGCUAGUCUACACAAGCAAAAUGAAACUUUUAGUUAGUCCUCCCGAAACUAAGCGAGCUACUUCAAAACAGCCCAAUGGGCGUAACCCUUCUCUGUUGCAAAAGAGUGGGAAGAUUUUCAAGUAGAAGUGAAAAGCCUACCGAGCUUAGAGAUAGCUGGUUAUUCAGGAAAAGAGUUUUAGCUCUACCUUAAGCUUCUUUAUGACACCUAACAAACCCUAAAGCUUAAGAGCUAUUCAAAUAAGGCACAGCUUAUUUGAAACAGGAUACAACCUACAAUACUGGGUAAAUAAUAAGUGAAUAAAAUAAAGUUGGCCUAAAAGCAGCCACCUUAAAAAAGCGUUAAAGCUUAGUUCUACACACUUACAAUUUCUAAAAUUUUGAUCAACCCUUUAUCCCUACUGAAUUAUUUUAUAUCCUUAUAAAAGUAAUAAUGCUAGAACUAGUAACAAGAAACUGCCCAUUCUCCUAAAUGCAAGCAUAAACCAGAAUAGACACCCUACUGGUAAUCAACGUAAAUGUCACUUUUAUAGUAACAUAGUAGAAAAUCCUAUAAUCCCCUUACGUUAACCUUACACUAGAGCAUUUCAGGAAAGAUUAAAAGAGAAAGAAGGAACUCGGCAAACUUCAGCCUCGCCUGUUUACCAAAAACAUCGCCUCUUGAAAAAAUAUAAGAGGUCCAGCCUGCCCAGUGACUAAGUUUAACGGCCGCGGUACCCUAACCGUGCGAAGGUAGCAUAAUCACUUGUUCUUUAAUUGGGGACUCGUAUCAACGGCAUCACGAAGGCUGCACUGUCUCCUUUCUCUAAUCAGUGAAACUGAUCUCCCCGUGAAGAAGCGGGGAUAAAAUUAUAAGACGAGAAGACCCCAUGGAGCUUCAAACUCAUCAUGCAACUCUGUCCUCCAUAUCCCUUAAUUCAAGAGAUGUGCAUGUUAGUUUUGGGUUGGGGGGACCUCGGAGUAUAACUUAACCUCCAAAACAAAUGGGUUAACACCUUUAUCCGCGAGAAACACCUCUAAGAAUUAUUAAACUAAUGCUUUUUGAUCCGAUAAUCGAUCAAUGGACCAAGUUACCCUGGGGAUAACAGCGCAAUCUACUUCAAGAGUUCAUAUCGACAAGUGGGUUUACGACCUCGAUGUUGGAUCAGGGUAUCCUGGUGGUGCAACCGCUACUAAUGGUUCGUUUGUUCAACGAUUAAAACCCCACGUGAUCUGAGUUCAGACCGGAGCANUCCAGGUCGGUUUCUAUCUAUAAAGUGCUGCCCCUAGUACGAAAGGACCGGAGCAACAUGGCCAAUAUUUAAAACAAGCCAUAAUCUGACACUAAUGAACUUAUCUAAAUUAACUAAGACCUCUCACCCAGCCCUAAACUAGGGCAU